GUUCUGUAGCAAGCAUCAAACAAGGCAGUUCCCCUUUCCCAGGGAGCAGUCGCAUUGUAGUCAUCUUUUGGUCACCCUGACCAAACUACCUGGAUGUGUGACUCUACACAAACAUACUUUAAGGAUGUUCCAUUGUUGUCUUGCUUGCAUUGUUUCUGAUGAUAAAUGUGCUGUAACAUCUUUGUUCCCUAGGACAUUGUUAGGAAGCCUGGAAUGCAGACUCAAUGGCUAGAGUUGCAGUGGUUACAUUGCGACAAUGAGGAAAACUUCAGGGUAGAAGUUGUUGCUAAGCAUGGCAAAGCAGCAAGAUCGAAAAAUCCUGGGACUUGGAUGAGUUCAUGGACACACCACAAGAUUACCUACCUCUGCCUGCAAAAGUGACAAAUAAAUUUAAACCACCCCUUACUG